UACGUAGGUGGCAAGCGUUGUCCGGAUUUACUGGGCGUAAAGGAUGCGUAGGCGGACAUUUAAGUCAGAUGUGAAAUACCCGAGCUUAACUUGGGUGCUGCAUUUGAAACUGGGUGUCUAGAGUGCAGGAGAGGUAAGUGGAAAUUCCUAGUGUAGCGGUGAAAUGCGUAGAGAUUAGGAAGAACACCAGUGGCGAAGGCGACUUACUGGACUGUAACUGACGCUGAGGCAUGAAAAGCGUGGGGGAGC
rnacentral:rRNA from 1 species